rnacentral:misc_RNA from 1 species
GAUGAAGAACGUAGCGAAAUGCGAUAAGUAAUGUGAAUUGCAGAAUUCAGUGAAUCAUCGAAUCUUUGAACGCACAUUGCGCCCGCCAGUAUUCUGGCGGGCAUGCCUGUUCGAGCGUCAUUACAACCCUCAGGCCCCCGGGCCUGGCGUUGGGGAUCGGCGGAAGCCCCCUGCGGGCACAACGCCGUCCCCCAAAUACAGUGGCGGUCCCGCCGCAGCUUCCAUUGCGUAGUAGCUAACACCUCGCAACUGGAGAGCGGCGCGGCCACGCCGUAAAACACCCAACUUCUGAAUGUUGACCUCGAAUCAGGUAGGAAUACCCGCUGAACUUAAGCAUGUCAAUAAGCGGAGGA